rnacentral:tRNA from 1 species
GGGGGUGUAGCUCAGUUUGGUUAGAGCGCUGGCCUGUCACGCCAGAGGUCGCGGGUUCGAGUCCCGUCACUCCCGCCA